rnacentral:rRNA from 1 species
UAUCCGGAUUUAUUGGGUUUAAAGGGUGCGUAGGCGGUUUGAUAAGUUAGAGGUGAAAUCCCGGGGCUUAACUCCGGAACUGCCUCUAAUACUGUUAGACUAGAGAGUAGUUGCGGUAGGCGGAAUGUAUGGUGUAGCGGUGAAAUGCUUAGAGAUCAUACAGAACACCGAUUGCGAAGGCAGCUUACCAAACUAUAUCUGACGUUGAGGCACGAAAGCGUGGGGAGCAAACAGGAUUAGAUACCCUGGUAGUCCACGCAGUAAACGAUGAUAACUCGUUGUCGGCGAUACACAGUCGGUGACUAAGCGAAAGCGAUAAGUGAUCCACCUGGGGAGUACGUUCGCAAGAAUGAAACUCAAAGGAAUUGACGGGGGCCCGCACAAGCGGAGGAACAUGUGGU